CAAGGAUGAAAAUCGGACUUAGUGAUCCGGUGGUUCUGCGUGGAAGGGCCAUCGCUCAACGGAUAAAAGCUACCCUGGGGAUAACAGGCUUAUCUCCCCCAAGAGUCCACAUCGACGGGGAGGUUUGGCACCUCGAUGUCGGCUCAUCACAUCCUGGGGCUGUAGUAGGUCCCAAGGGUUGGGCUGUUCGCCCAUUAAAGUGGUACGCGAGCUGGGUUCAGAACGUCGUGAGACAGUUCGGUCCCUAUCCGUCGCAGGCGUAGGAAAUUUGAGAAGACCUGUCCUUAGUACGAGAGGACCGGGAUGGACGUACCUCUGGUGUACCAGUUGUUCUGCCAAGGGCAUGGCUGGGUAGCUAUGUACGGAAUGGAUAAGCGCUGAAAGCAUCUAAGCGCGAAGCCAACUUCAAGAUAAGAUUUCCCACCGCAAGGGUAAGACCCCAGAAAGACUAUCUGGUUGAUAGGUCGAAGGUGUAAGUGCAGCAAUGUAUUUAGCUUAUCGAUACUAAUAGGUCGAGGACUUGACCAAAUU
rnacentral:rRNA from 1 species